GCACUAGCACUAACAGAGCUGUCACUUAAGUAUCUAGCACCUCUAAGGAGUGGAGAUAGAUUUGUCGUGAAGGCACGAAUAUCUGAUUCUUCAGCUGCUCGUUUGUUUUUCGAACACUUCAUCUUCAAGCUUCCAGAUCAAGAGCCCAUCUUGGAGGCAAGAGGAAUAGCAGUGUGGCUCAAUAAAAGUUACCGUCCUGUCCGAAUCCCGGCAGAGUUCAGAUCAAAAUUUGUUCAGUUCCUUCGCCAGGAGGCAUCCAACUAAUGUGCUUGUUCAACAAAAUCCAGAAGAGUUCUUUUGAUCAAACAUUUUUCUCUGAAAGUGAAAAUUUACUCCUUCUAUAUACUGACCCAAAAAAUCUAGCAACUUAAGGUAUUUUUGUU
rnacentral:misc_RNA from 1 species